GCACCCCUCGCUCAGCCCCGCCCCCGGCGCGAGUGGUUAAAUCCCCCCCACCCGGGCUGCAGCUCACACCUGCACCAUGCCUGCCUGUCGCCUCUGCUUGCGGGCAGCGGGCCUGCUUCUGGGACUGCUGCUGUUCACCCACCUUCCAGUCACAGGUGCGGGAGAGGAGAAACCCGGCGUGUGCCCCCAGCUCCAGAACAAUACUGGCUGUGUGAAGGAGUGCUCGUCGGACACCCACUGCCUGGACAACCUCAAGUGCUGCCAGGCCGGCUGCAGCUCUGUCUGUUCCCCGCCUAAUGGAUCUCCUCCACCUUCAGGACUGAACGAGGAAGAGCUCCUGGACCCUACUCUAUCCGUCCUCCAUACUUCUCCUUCACAGGGAGGUCAAGUCUCCACCUUACCACCGGCUGUGGUCAGGGAAGAAGGCGACCUAGAAAAGCAGGGCGCCUGCCCCAGUGUGGACUUCCCCAAGCUCGGCAUCUGCGAGGACCAGUGCCAGUCGGACAGUGAGUGUUCUGACAACAUGAAAUGCUGCCGCAAUGGCUGUGGGAAGAUGACCUGUGCCACACCCAUAUUCUGAGAACAGGGAUAAAUGCCAUCUAUUUGGUCAAUUCAGCUCAAACUGAUCUAAGGAAUGAAGCUUCAGCCACCACCAGCCUGAGGAAUGGGGAGAGGGUGCUUCUGCUCGGCCAUGCAGCUGGUAUCAUUCCCGUGGCCUCCCUUCCCUCUGGCCUUUGAGUUUCUUCUUGGACCCACAAGAGCACCUCCCUUCUCCAACCAAUAAAGUGAUCACUUGCAGCAAUGGAGAAGCCAUAA